CUCUUUUUACAAGUGCUUGGCAAAAACUUCUGAAUUAUGAUGUGUUUGAAAGAGCCAUGAUAAUAGUGCUGUUUGUGAUAGUGUUUGUGUGCUGCCUCUGCAAAAUCAUUUACCUUUUAGUUACAGAGGUCGGGAAGAAAAGUGGACGGAUAGUUAAAAUAUUUGAUCUUGUGGCUGAUAUGACCUUUCAAAUUCUGCCCACUUUACAAUUCAUCCUCCUCUUCUACACGUUUGGAGCUGCUGGUGAAGCAGGGUUGAUCAUGAUUGUGGUUUUACCAGUGUUACUGAUGAUGAUGACAAAUGAGAGAUGGCUUUAUAAAUGCAGAUAUGGGCUCGGCUUUUCACCUUCAGUCAUGAAGACAGUGAUGUUAAUCUUCAUAUUAGUGACCAAUGUAUUGAUGAUCGGCCUUUACAUAUUCACCCUGGAAAACCAAACAGAUCCGAUCGGAUGGGGCUGUGUGAUGGUGUUUCUGCAGAUACUCUGGACCGUUAUGUACUUCACAGAUGCAGAUUUGUUCUACGGUUUUCUCAGUUUGUCUCGAGAUUUCCAGCGUUAUGUUUCUGUGUAUGUGUUUGGAUCAGUGGCUGUAGUUUUACUGAACUCUGCUGCAUUAAUAACUGAACUGAUGCUCAAAACAGUGAACGGUGAUCGUAUGAUGGCAGAUCUGAGGUUCAUCGUCUUUCCUUCUGAAUGUUUAUUUGCUGUAUCUCUGCUGAUUUCUGGAUUCUCAGGAUCCAAGAUCGCAGGCUGUCUGAAGUCUUGUCAGACCAAGGUGAGAUCUAUACGAGUCAGAAGAUCAUCACAGCAGAACCAGAGCACAGAGAUGAAUCCUCUGAAUGCUGGAGAUCAGGAGCAGAAUCAGCCGGAUUCAGUGCUGGCUCAGACAUGAGAGAGAGAUUGUUAUUAUUAUUAUAACAAUAACACACUGCUGUUUGAUCAGAAUCUCAUGAGUUUACACUGAUCCGCUGAGUUCAGUGUAAUGAUGUUAUUCUCUGUUAAUAUCACUGGUUUUGCACUGAGACCUCGGUAUUUUGUGUGUGUGUGUGUGUGUGUGUGUGUGUGUGUGUGUGUGAGUGAAUGUUUUUUUUUGUGUGUGUGUAAAUAGCUGUAAAUAUAUGCAGGCUGUGUUUUAGUGUGUCACAACACUUUUACUUUGUAUAUUUGUGAUGCUGAUUUGUGCUUUAAAACUAUUCCUAGCUGUAAGCUAAUUUCAGUCAUGUAAAUGAAUCAAACACUGAGAGUGAAUAGUUAAACCUUCAGACAGCAGAUGCUUCAUUAUGACAUUAUCACAUUAUAAAAGUAUUAUGAUACACAUGCUGUUAUUUACUUUGAGUUUAAUUUGGGAGGUUGAGAGAAUAAAGACAACAGCAUCAUCAUCAUGUUCGGGGAGUUUGUAUUUCUACAGUGUUUGAAUAAUUAAAUAUUACUCAAUAUUAUCAGUUCAUACUAUCAUAAUACAUGAUCACUUCAGUAAAGUUUAGUUGAUCUGUGUGUUGUGCUGAUCUAGAGUUCUGGGGCCUCAGACCAAAGUGACAACAAAUUACCUUUUUGGACCUCCCACCGCCCCUUUAUUAUUAUUUUUUUCUAAAAAACAUACAUAUAUAAUAUCACCUGACUAGAGCCCUGCAUUUCAGCCCGGGAGACUCGACGGUGUUUGUUGUCCCUCCAGCAGCAGCAUGUGUGGUGCGUGCCAUCAGUGCAGCUGAACAGUUCUGCGUUNCACACAGUAUUAACAACAACAAUAACAUACAUCUUAGGAUGUAACAGUUCAAAUACACGCAAUAGGCUUAAAGGCUGAUUAAUACUCCUGUGUCAAAACCAGUGAUGGAGUAC
ensembl:lncRNA